rnacentral:rRNA from 1 species
UACGUAGGGUGCGAGCGUUAAUCGGAAUUACUGGGCGUAAAGCGUGCGCAGGCGGUUUUGUAAGCCAGGUGUGAAAGCCCCGGGCUCAACCUGGGAAUUGCAUUCGAGACUGCAUUGCUGGAGUACGGAAGAGGAAGGCGGAAUUCCCGGUGUAGCGGUGAAAUGCGUAGAUAUCGGGAGGAACAUCAGUGGCGAAGGCGGCCUUCUGGUCCAGUACUGACACUCAAGUGCGAAAGCGUGGGGAGCAAACAGG